CGCGUAGGCGGACUAUUAAGUCGGGGGUGAAAUCCCGGGGCUCAACCCCGGAACUGCCUUCGAUACUGGUAGUCUUGAGUUCGAGAGAGGUGAGUGGAAUUCCGAGUGUAGAGGUGAAAUUCGUAGAUAUUCGGAGGAACACCAGUGGCGAAGGCGGCUCACUGGCUCGAUACUGACGCUGAGGUGCGAAAGUGUGGGGAGCAAACA
rnacentral:rRNA from 1 species